rnacentral:lncRNA from 1 species
GGUUGAGCUAGGGGCAGAAGAAGCAGAAUUUGGAGGCAGGUAAAAGAGGCACCACACCAGGACAGAUUUGGCCAUGGAAGAUCUGAGUCUAAGGGAAAUUGGAGAGCCAGGCAACACCACCAGGGAGGAGGGGACUUCCAAGCUGAAAUCUAGGGCACUGUUUCCUCCCCAUCCUCCUCUCCAUAGAGAUUAGAACUGUUUGUCUCAUCUGUCUUUAACCUAUUUUCCUUUUUUCUUUUUGCCACUUUCUCAUCCUCUGUGCACCAUUCUCCAUCCAAGAGGCCAGGUAGAAUAGUGGGAAAAGUCCCAGAGAGCAGUCAGGAUUCUGAGUGGCCAUGCUGGCUCAGCCCCUAACUCACCAUGUGACAUUGGGCUAGCCUCAUUCCCCUUUGGAGCCUCAGUUUCCCCACUUGCAGUAUGAGUGGUGUAAACUAAAAGCUCUCCAGAGUUUUUUCCACUCUUCCAUCUUACAGACCUUUAUUUGUUCUCAUUUUGCUUUUUCUGGAUCUUUUCCAUCUGAGAGUAUAGGAAGUGCCAAGACCUGUUUUUGUUUUUGAAUCCUGCAAGCACAUUCCAAGACUGGCCUGAAAUUGCAUGAGCAACGUCACUCUCAUUUUUUUCAAAAGCACCUUACCGACCAACUGCACUGCUGUCCUGUUCCUUCUUCUUCACACCCCUUCUCUCUUCUCCUGUCCUCACGCUUCCCCCACCUCAGUGCUCUGUGCUGUAUGCGUGUGCUCUCUGUUCUUGUAUACUCAAUAAAAGUGAAAUAAAUGUGUUUGAUGCUGAACCACAGGCUUCUUUGGCUUCCUCUCUCUCCCUCUGUCUUUGGCUACUGGUACAGGUUGGUAUUGUGGGACAGGCUGACACUCGAGUGGAAACAUCCCAACUCAGAGCACAUGUCUGGAGCUUCCAGUGUGCCCUAGGCCUUGCCUUAGUCUCUAUUGAUUUAUCUUGCUUUAAAUUGAUUCACUUUCAGAAGAACUUAUUUGAAAAGGAAACUAUAUUGCUUUC